rnacentral:rRNA from 1 species
GCAUAUCAAUAAGCGGAGGAAAAAGAAACCAACAGGGAUUGCCCCCAGUAACGGCGAGUGAAGCGGCAACAGCUCAAAUUUGAAAUCUGGCCCCCCUCGGGGCCCGAGUUGUAAUUUGCAGAGGGAGCUUUUGGCGUCGGUCGUGGUCUAAGUUCCUUGGAACAGGACGUCACAGAGGGUGAGAAUCCCGUACGUGGCCGCCGGCCUUCGCCUUGUAAAGCCCCUUCGACGAGUCGAGUUGUUUGGGAAUGCAGCUCUAAAUGGGAGGUAAAUUCCUUCUAAAGCUAAAUACCCGCCAGAGACCGAUAGCGCACAAGUAGAGUGAUCGAAAGAUGAAAAGCACUUUGGAAAGAGAGUGAAAAAGCACGUGAAAUUGUUGAAAGGGAAGCGCUUGCGGCUAGACGUGCCCGCGGUUGAUCAUCCAGGCUCCGGCCUGGUGCACUCCUCCGCGGGCAGGCCAGCAUCAGUUCGGGCGGUCGGAUAAAGGCCUCUGUCACGUACCACCCCUCGGGGUGGCCUUAUAGGGGAGGCGCAACACGGCCAGCCCGGACUGAGGUUCCGCGCAUCUGCUAGGAUGCUGGCGUAAUAGCAGCAAGCGGCCCGUCUUGAAACACGGACCAAGGAGUCUAACAUCUAUGCGAGUGUUUGGGUGUCAAGCCCGAGCGCGCAAUGAAAGUGAACGGAGGUGGGAACCCUCACGGGUGCACCAUCGACCGAUCCUGAUGUCUUCGGAUGGAUUUGAGUAAGAGCAUAGCUGUUGGGACCCGAAAGAUGGUGAACUAUGCCUGAAUAGGGUGAAGCCAGAGGAAACUCUGGUGGAGGCUCGCAGCGGUUCUGACGUGCAAAUCGAUCGUCAAAUUUGGGCAUAGGGGCGAAAGACUAAUCGAACCAUCUAGUAGCUGGGUUCCCUGCCGAAGU